UACGAAGGGGGCUAGCGUUGCUCGGAAUCACUGGGCGUAAAGCGCACGUAGGCGGAUGUGCCAGUCAGGGGUGAAAUCCCGGAGCUCAACUUCGGAACUGCCUCUGAUACAGCACGUCUUGAGUCCGGAAGAGGUGGGUGGAAUUCCUAGUGUAGAGGUGAAAUUCGUAGAUAUUAGGAAGAACACCGGUGGCGAAGGCGGCCCACUGGUCCGGUACUGACGCUGAGGUGCGAAAGCGUGGGGAGCAAACAGG
rnacentral:rRNA from 1 species